UUGACUUUUUGAAUAGCGACAGUCUUUAAAACGCGUUUUGCUGCCUAAUUUCUAACAUGUUUAAAAGCCAGCCUCAUUCAUGUUCGUGAAUACAUGUGCGUAUCUACUGUGCGCCUUCACUGAUUUCCGUGGUUUUCGGUCACAUUUGCCCAUUGGUCUUAUGCAGUGCCAAGUCAAGUGUGGGCAAGUACAUCAGUGCAUCAUGCACCGGCUGUGGUGCCUGUGCAAACUACAGAUCUCGAUGAAGGUGGCAAGACCUUCUGACACAAGAGCCAGGCGCAGCUUUAUCGAGCAACUGGUCAGUGAGAUGACAUGCCAGCAGCCCGCCCAUCGUCUGACCAGAGAAUUUGGAGGUAGUACGACGACAAGGCGUUCUACGAUCAAGUGCAAGGGAAUGUGAAAGUUUCGGUUGGCACACAUCUAGAGAAAGCCCUUAUUUGGUACUUGACGAUGUACUACUAGUACCUUACAUACCCAACUGGGUAUGCUCAAUACUUCGUCUUGUGCUAAGUAUAAUGAACCCAGUUGUUUCCCAGGUGUUUUGCCGGCGGGAACCUGCUGAAGACAUAUGAAAAGAUCAAAGGUAUUCGUUAAGCACCAGAAUAUAUUUGUCCUAAAAAACAUUGGCUGGCACGUUUAGCGUUUCCUUGAGCGCUGAGCAUUGCUUUUAGCGCUGUUUGUAUUUUUUUACAAUAAAUACUUAU